CAAUGAAUUAAUUUUAAAUGGCNGCAGUAUAUUGACGGUACAAAGGUAGCAUAAUAAAUUGCCUUUUAAUUGGAGAAUANAAUGAAAGAAUUAUUGAAUUAUAAACGGUCYCUAUUAUAUUUAAUAAAAUUAAAUUUUUAGUUAAAAUGCUAAAAUUAAAUUAUGGGACAAUAAGACCCUAUAAAAUUUUAUAUUAUUAAUAAAAUGGGAAUACAAUUUUAUUUUUAUUUUAUUAAUAACAUUUUAUUGGGAAGAUUAUAAAAUUAAUUUAACUUUAUUAAAAUAAAAACUUUGAUUUACGAAANUUUGGAUGAUAGCAUUAUAUUAAUUAAUAAAUYAAAUUACCUUAGGGAUAACAGCGUAAUAUCUUUUAUUAGAUCUUAUUAAUAAAGGUGUUUGCGACCUCGAUGUUGAAUUAAGAUAAAUUUUAAAUGAAGAAAUUUAAAAAUUAAGUCUGYUCGACUUUUAAAAUC
rnacentral:rRNA from 1 species